CAAAAUAUAUUUAAUAGUAUAAUAUAAACUUUGGGAGUUUAAGUUAAGUUUACACUUUUUUUUGA
rnacentral:tRNA from 1 species